CUGCCAUUGAAGAGUCCCACAAUAGGACGAAACGGCCGUCUAACAG
rnacentral:hammerhead_ribozyme from 1 species